GCUGGAUAAGGAAACUUUGACUCCUUUCAGGAUGCACUAUUUCCUGGUGAUUUUUCUUCUUGUAGAUAGUUGCAGAAGAAGAUCAGAAACUGAUUAACUUCAGAACUUCAGUGGAAGCUGAGUUCCCUGACGCAACAAAUGUCUACAGCCAAUGUUACGGCCCUAAUUGUCAAAAACAAAGAUUGUAAAAACUAGAGUGAUAUCUGGGAAGGCUUAGAUGAGCCCAUGAUUAGAAGAUCCACAACACAGCUGGAGUUACUUCGGAUAACUCUGCACCAUCCCUCUCAUUUCCAUUGGAUGCAAGUAUAGAUUCAUCCAAGUGGAUGACUCAGAUCCAGCAGGCCGAUCCUUCACCAAGAGCCAGGGCAAGAAUUCAAGCAAAACCUGCAUAUCAUAUGACUAUAUUUAACAGUUCUAAAUCACAAAGAGUUGAACAACAUGCUUUCUAUCCUCCUUCCUUGACAAAUAUAUCUUCAUAAUGAUUAGAUAGAAAAAUACGAGUAAAGUUCAAAGUUUCUAAUUGGCUGAAAGCUGACAAAACGUCAACGAUGACUGAACAUAAUUAUUAUCGCAUAUACUGGGAAUUCUGUUGAU
rnacentral:lncRNA from 1 species